rnacentral:lncRNA from 1 species
AGUUCUAUCUCCAUUGUUAUAUCCGUUUGAACUAUUUAUGUUUCAUGCACUUGUUUAUUAUUUUGGCAUUUACUUGAAUUAUUUUCUCACCAGGGAUGGUGAGAAGUAAUUCUGGGGGAGGCGCUUAUCCGCUACUAAUCGUUUACCUUUGGUUUUAUGUUUAGAGUCAGUCUGCUUUGAGUCGUUUUGAUGUCUUUAUCGAGUCGGUGUGUUAAGAUCGAGUCAGUCCAAACUUUGUGGGAAUCAGAACCUUAUUCUAUGAUGUGAUUUAACCACCCUCGUGCUUUAAUUCAUCUUAUUCAGUGACCUUAGCAGAAGCGACAGACGCACAUGUGGAUCCAGAACACC